UACAGCGCCGACCUGCCGGUGUGGCUGGACCUGCCGCAGCGGUCCGCGGAGUCGAAGAGGAGGCGGAGGGGCCCGGUCGGCGGCGGGGAGGGCGGGGCCUGCGGGGCCUCCGUCGGCCGGGAGGGCGGCUAGCGCCUCCUGGGUCCCCUCGUCGUCAGCAGCCGCCGCCGCUGCCGCGUCUGCGGGGGCAACAGCGUCCGCGGAGCGCGCUGCUGCGCGCCCUCCAAGUGCCAGAUGUGCCUCCAUGGCGGCAGGCACGGGGUGUGCGUCCGCCGGGGGCAGCAUGGAGGGCGCGGCAGCUGCAGCGGCGAGCUCUGCGUCGUUCGCUGGGGGCAUGGGGGGCGCCGCAGCUGCAGCAGCGAAGUCUGCGACGUCCGCCAGCGCCGGCGCAACCCCGUGAACCUCGUCGUUGCGGUCCGGCCCGACGUCGUCCGCAGCCACCGCCGCGUCGUCGUCGUCCGCAAACACCGGCGCAUGCUCCCUACCCUCGCCCCCGCUGUUCGGCCCGACGUCGUCGUCGGCACCCGCCGCCGCACCCGCGUUAACCCCGUCUCAGCAAGUGGCACCGGCGCAGUCCGCACCCGCGUCGGCGUCGGCCUCGUCGUCGUCGUCGUCCACUCCGACAUGUGCCGCCUUCCCCUUGGCCGCCCCAUGUGCUGGUUCACCCUCCUCGAGGUAGGCCACAGGGUCGUGGAAGAGGACGUUUAGCUCCUGUUCUAUUCCCUACUCUCCGUACGCACACUCGUCAACCUUGUUACGUCCGCGGAGUCACUGGGUAGUCAGAGGUUGUUCCCAAAACUUGACCUACGAGCAGUCUAAUGGGUCCUCUAACCCAAUUAGAGGUGGUAGUAGCUGUCCCUCUUCCGAGGGUAAGUCUCGAAUUACCGACUAUAGUCUCUUUAUUACAGCGUACACCUAAAACGAUAUACACGUAUACGUCUUCACUCUGCUUCCAAGCAGUCCCCUCCACGACUUGAACGUAUGACACGACCUAGAAGUUCGCGGGGAUGACUAAAGUCGGCCGUGAGCUGUUACCGGGCUUGGAAAGCAUUGACAAUACCAAGACAUAUAGCCGGAAGAGAGAAAUACGUUGUGUAACAACUUUCUAAACUCUUCGUCGAACUUCUUACAACGUUUAGCUAACCUCUCGAUCUCGUCGAACAAGUUUGCUUCUUACUAUUCUGGGUAGGUCGAAGAAACUUUAGAGACGGUUUUCAAUACAGCUUACACGUACUAAUAGAAUACAUACGACGAAGAUUCCACCUUUUAGAAGUAGUUGUACGGCUUUGUUAUUCUUGAGUUAUAGAAUUACUAGACGCUUUGUCACCAUUGACCUUACUAGGUAAACAACUUCGCCUAUCUUUUCUCCGUCGCUUUGUUCUUCGACGACGGUCUUAUCAGGUAGGUUGUAACGGACAUUGACAACGAGCACCCGCCGUUACCUACCGCACGCAUUAGCCACUGGAGCUGGCGCUGACCCCUUCCUUCGACGCCUCUUCGUUGGUCAGUCCUUGCUUGCUCGCCAGCAACAGGGUCAACUCUACACCGUGCUAAGUCAGCCCAGCAUGUCCAAGGGAGGGCCGAUCACCGACGGACUCUCUUUUCUUAGUCUUCUCAGUGUUAGCGUGCACCCCGUAUUGUUGGUUUAUGUUGUGCCCAUUGUUUGUUCUACCGGGUUUAUUGUCCUCUAAGUGGCGAAGAAAAGUUUUAUAAAAGCUUUGAAUAGGCCGGUAGCGUGAGGCCGGAUCAACCCCGGUCCGGUUGGCGCUAGCUUUUUUCUAGAGGUUUUAGGACCGCCGGGCGUGCGACGGUGCGUAGGGAUGUCUCGUAUUUCUUCGGCGGCGAGUGGGAGGGAGGUGGAAGGUAGAGGGUGAAGAGGCGGGGGAGCGGGGGAGGCGGCGACUGGAGCAGCCGGUGGCGGCGGCUGCUCCGGAGGAUAGCGGCCUAUGGGUAGGGGAUCCGUGGCCGGGGAAGUAGUUAGACUUUGGGGGGAGGAGCGGGGCCGCUCGGCACAAUGGUAGGCUGAGGCGGCUAGGAGGCUUGGGAUCUAGGGGACCCGUGGGCUAGCGCGCGGGGAAGGCCUCCCCGCGGCAGGGCUAGCGGGGCCUCCUUUACGAGGCGGCGCAGGGCACUCUAGGCCGGCGGUUCUGAGCUGGAAAAAACGGAGGCUCCGCCGCACUGCGCCGCGCUACCGCUAGGCGUACUGGCAGAGGAUGAGGCCGAUGCACCGCGUCUCGGACCGGUGGAGGAAGCCGGACGCGACGUGGUGGCGGCGGCGGCGCCCGAGGCCCCGGCGCGGGCCGCGGCCGACGGCGCAGGAGGUCCUGCGCGAGAGGGCGGGGAAGACGGAGAAGCGGAGGAGGGCUGCGCAGCUCGUCGUGUUACUGCGGCUCCUGGUGUUGGUGGGGUUCGGGUUCGGGUCCGGGUUCGGAGAGGGCGGGCGGCGGCCACGGCCGGCGGGGUGGUUCCGAGAGGGACAGCGUCGGCGGCCUCCGUCCGUCGACUGGUUCGAACAGGGGCGGCUGCCCCCGUCGAUGAGCGACAAGCAGAGCGGCAGGCCGAGCCGUUUCCGCCUACUGGGUGGCAGCGACCGCCACCCCAACGACAGCCACGAGCGCAGACCCCAGCCGAGCCCGGGACCGUAGCGGCCGCACAGGAGCGACAGCCGCAGCGGCAGCUAUAGCAGGCCCGACUUGGGGCGGUGCGACGAGGGGAAGAACGUCCGCUGCUUCACCGAAGGGACAUCGCUAUAGUAGUGGCCGCGUAGUAGGGCGUCCAGCCAUGCGGGACGCCUACACAGCUGCCGCGGGUGUGUACACGGAAGGGCAGCGGGAAGCGGAAGCGGACACGGGAGGGGACGCCACCGACGGGGAAGCUUCCGCCCGCACUACCGCAACGAACCGUCAUCGCCACGUCGCCGACGGGGGUGGUUCUACCCGCAGUUCCGUAACAAACCAUCAUCGCCACGCCACCGACGGGGAAGGUUCCACCCGUCGCAUCAUCGCGGCAAUCAACCAUCAUCACGUCAACGAAGACCACGACGACCCCACCACUCUGUCUCGUCACGACGAGAACCACGACGCCGUCCCCGUUCGUUCUCUUGAUCGACCGACAGUUCCACCCACUUGAGGACGAGCCUACUACGUUUCUGGCAGGAGCGACGACACUGACACGGUGACGAGGUAUUUAGGAGAGAUCGACUCGGCUCCAGGUAGGGAAGUUUUAGCUACAUAGGUUGUAAACUACAACCACUGGCCUAAGAGCGGCUCUCCCAAAGUAUAUAAAAGGCCCUCGGUGUUCAAAACCUGUAACACUAGAAGGCACGUGGAGACCAGGAAGUCCGUAACCCGAUGUCGAGUUCACUACACAAGUAGUUCUCCCAACACCGGUUCCCGCCCCUGUAGCAACUUCAUUCGAAAAUAGGCUUCCCACUGACUACCAGUUAAUAAUCAAUUGCCUCAUCAGGUCCUACUCCUGAAACACGAACUCCGUGGGCUAAUACUUUACCUAGGUCACUCACACGGACUUCCGAUGCACAAACACGAUCCCCUGUUGUCUUUGUUGUCGAAGCUAAGGGUAUUGACCCCUGGCGAUGGGCACUUCUUGUAAGAACCCUCUAGACACGAAGCUAUGACCGGUGGUAGCUUUUAUUGUCUAUGUUAGAUACUGGUGUAACUGGUACUACACCAAGUACCGUACCGUCCGUAGAGGACUCUACGUGUCAACCAAGCCGUUACGAUUUGGUUGGGUAAAAAAAACCGUCUCAUAGUGACUACUGGAGACGACGUAAAAAAAAAGAGGAGAUCGAUAAAUAAAACUAACUACAGCGGAACGUGCAUUCGGACCGACUGAGAAGUCAAAAAGGGGACGGGAUGGUCGUCUACGAACAAAUCUCCGUUGUUAAGAACAUGACAUUGGUUUCCAGACCGAGCGGACAGCUUACUCGUAGGUACCGUCGCGUACCUUUAAAACAAUACAAACCCGCAAACCGUGUUCCUCUCAACCAACUAGACAAAGUCUAGUAUUACAUAUUCUUCGUCUUUCGUACGGUAUAACAAGUAGGACAAGGAACAUCUCUCAAAACCAAUGGUAGACUUAGGCUGUACAAACAAACUACUUCCUUUGGUACCGGUUAAAACUUUGCGCAGAAUAGUGUCUGCUACAAGACCAGAACACAAGAAGCUACAACAACUAACACUAUGCAUCAACACCGUAAAACAUUACUAACACUCAACAAGCAUUCUUUACUAUACGACGCUGAAAAGUCGAAAAUCAUACAACCGGCGUAGGCGUACCCGUUCUACAAACAAAUCGUCAUGUGAACUGUCGGUUGACUCGCUCACGUUUUAUACACGAACACACAAAAAAGUCGCCAAAUACACGAACACACAACAACUAAAACUAGAACAUAAGUUUCUUAGAAAAGAAAUAAACUCGUUCAUACAGUUCCUAACAACAUCGACUGUUAAUAAACUUUCUUUAUACUCGUUUUAUACACGAAGACACGACAUAAGUUU
rnacentral:rRNA from 1 species